AUUGAACGCUGGCGGCAGGCCUAACACAUGCAAGUCGAACGAGUGGCGGACGGGUGAGUAAUGUCUGGGACACUGCCCGAUGGAGGGGGAUAACUCCUGGAAACGGUAGCUAAUACCGCAUACUAUCAGAUGAGCCUAGGUCGGAUUAGCUAGUAGGUGGGGUAACGGCUCACCAAGGACCCGAUCCCUAGCUGGUCUGAGAGGAUGACCAGCCACACUGGAACUGAGACACGGUCCAGAAUCCUACGGGAGGCAGCAGUGGGGAAUAUUGCACAAUGGGCGCAAGCCUGAUGCAGCCAUGCCGCGUGUGUGAAGAAGGCCUUCGGGUUGUAAAGCACUUUCAGCGGGGAGGCGUUACCCGCAGAAGAAGCACCGGCUAACUCCGUGCCAGCAGCCGCGGUAAUAC
rnacentral:rRNA from 1 species